GCGUGUGUGAAGAAGGCCUUCGGGUUGUAAAGCACUUUAGCCAGGGAAGAAAACGCUCAAGUUAAUACCUUGAGUCUUGACGGUACCUGGAGAAUAAGCACCGGCUAACUCUGUGCCAGCAGCCGCGGUAAUACAGAGGGUGCAAGCGUUAAUCGGAUUUACUGGGCGUAAAGCGUGUGUAGGCGGUUAUUCAAGUCGGUUGUGAAAUCCCCGGGCUCAACCUGGGAAUUGCUUCCGAGACUGAAUGACUAGAGUACGGUAGAGGGCGGUGGAAUUUCCGGUGUAGCGGUGAAAUGCGU
rnacentral:rRNA from 1 species